GAUGAAGAACGUAGCGAAAUGCGAUAAGUAAUGUGAAUUGCAGAAUUCAGUGAAUCAUCGAAUCUUUGAACGCACAUUGCGCCCGCCAGUAUUCUGGCGGGCAUGCCUGUUCGAGCGUCAUUACAACCCUCAGGCCCCCGGGCCUGGCGUUGGGGAUCGGCGGAGCCCCCCGUGGGGACACGCCGUCCCCCAAAUACAGUGGCGGUCCCGCCGCAGCUUCCAUCGCGUAGUAGCUAACACCUCGCGACUGGAGAGCGGCGCGGCCACGCCGUAAAACACCCAACUCUUCUGAAGUUGACCUCGAAUCAGGUAGGAAUACCCGCUGAACUUAAGCAUAUCAAUAAGCGGAGGA
rnacentral:misc_RNA from 1 species